GUAGUGUCAAUGUAAAUGCCAUGGAUGAGGGUCUCCAGAGCCUCCUGCGAGAAUGGGGACUAUCUCCAACCGUAAUUAAGAAGUUCGAAGAUAAUGACAUUACUUCAAGAGACCAUUUAAGAGGAAUGAAAAUCGAAGAUGUGGAACACCUACUAACGCUCGGCCAAAAAAUUUCCUUCCGUGCAAAAUUAGAGACAUUUCAUCAACUAAAUAAUGCCUCAGUAGUAAUUGAAGUUGUACAGCCUGCACCUGAAAAUGUUGUAGAAAAUAUUCUUGAAAAUGUUCCUCCUGAAAAUCCUACUAAUCCUCUAUCCGACAUUAAUCUUGGUGGUGAUGAUGAUGGUUCUGGCCCCAGUAAAAGAACUCCACUUAGGUGCUCUCCACGGACUUCAAAUGUUAAUCGUCCCGAUCCUACCCAAGUCACUCCCAAGAAUUUAUUUGGCACCAGAAGUCCAACCAUUAAUUUUCGGGAAUUCCUUGAAUCGAGCUUAAAAGGAAGAUCCAUCCUAAGCUAUUAUAGAAACAAAAAUGAGCUAAAUGAUGAGAAUAGAAGAAUUUUAAGCACACUCUUAAUAACCAACGAAAUGGAAAACUGCCUGAAAAUUCCAAAUUGCAAAUUGGAGAGUUUAUCAGAACUUAUCGUUAAAGAAUUCCCAACGGAAGAGAAAUCAAACUGGUACGUCCCCUUCGCAAUGGAGGGGAAAAAGCGAACCUGUGCUGGGGGGAAAUUAUACCAUUUUUAUCAUAACGAACGGCGCACCUUGAGAGAGGCUGGCAUGUUAAGCAGAAGAACCCAGAAUCAAGCUUUAGCUGGAAGCGAAGGUGAACUGAACAGCUUUAAUUGGGUGAAGAAAAGCAGUGAACCAUUUGAGACCGCGAUUUCACAUUGGGAAAAUAGUGUCCAAUACAGAAUAAAUUUGUUAAAAGGAGACGAUCAAACGCCUGCCAAAUACAUGUCAAAUUUCAUGUGU
rnacentral:lncRNA from 1 species